GGUAUUUUCUUCACAGUAAAAUGUUCUGCUGUGCAAGUGUUAGUUCAUUUGUCUGCUUUGGAAUGAUGUUUGAGCAAAAAAAUGAGCUGUGAUGGAAAACUCAUCCCUUAAUACACUGUUUCUUACAGAUGAAGUGUAGAAAUGUCCCAGGAUCUCAAAUCAGUAUCGAGCUGGGACUCUAAGGUUUUAUGUCUGGGAAUGAAGCACUGUGGUCAUCCGGUUCGAACUUCAAGCUUUUAAUGGGAUCUGGAACCAAGUUAAAUGUGCAGCAAA
ensembl:processed_transcript